GGGCGCGUAGCUCAGUGGUAGAGCGGUCGUCUUAUAAGCGACUGGUCGCAGGUUCGAUCCCUGCCGUGCCCA
rnacentral:tRNA from 1 species